rnacentral:rRNA from 1 species
ACGCGAAAGGGGCUUCGGCCCUGAGUAGAGUGGCGAACGGGUGAGUAACACGUGGGUGAUCUACCUUUGAGUGGGGGAUAACGUCCCGAAAGGGACGCUAAUACCGCAUGACGUUCUGGGUUUAAAGACCUGGAAACCAAAGCCGGGGACCGCAAGGCCUGGCGCUUGAAGAGGAGCCCGCGUCCGAUUAGCUAGUUGGCGGGGUAAUGGCCCACCAAGGCGACGAUCGGUAGCCGGCCUGAGAGGGCGGACGGCCACACUGGAACUGAGACACGGUCCAGACUCCUACGGGAGGCAGCAGUGGGGAAUUGUUCACAAUGGGCGCAAGCCUGAUGACGCAACGCCGCGUGGGGGAUGAAGGUCUUCGGAUUGUAAACCCCUGUCGAAUGGGACGAAAGACCCGGGAGCUAAUCAUCCUGGGAGUGACGGUACCGUUAAAGGAAGCCACGGCUAACUCUGUGCCAGCAGCCGCGGUAAUACAGAGGUGGCAAGCGUUG